rnacentral:rRNA from 1 species
UACGUAGGUGACCAGCGUUGUCCGGAUUUACUGGGCGUAAAGCGCGCGUAGGCGGUUACUUAAGUCGGAUGUGAAAGCCCUCGGCUUAACUGAGGAAGUGCACCCGAAACUGAGUAGCUGGAGUACGAAAGAGGGUCGCGGAAUUCCCGGUGUAGAGGUGAAAUUCGUAGAUAUCGGGAGGAACAUCAGUGGCGAAAGCGGCUUCCUGGACCAGUACCGACGUUCAGGCACGAAAGCGUGGGGAGCAAACAGG